AAAAAUUUAGUUAAUUUAUAACACUAAUUUGUCAAAUUAGAAUAACUUAUAUAAAGUAAUUUUUA
rnacentral:tRNA from 1 species